UACGGAGGGUACAAGCGUUGCUCGGAAUCACUGGGCGUAAAGCGUACGCAGGCGGCUCGUUAAGUCGGGUGUGAAAGCCCGGGGCUCAACCCCGGAAUUGCGCCCGAUACUGGCGAGCUUGAGUACGGGAGAGGGAUAGCGGAAUUCCUGGUGUAGAGGUGAAAUUCGUAGAUAUCAGGAGGAACACCAGUGGCGAAAGCGGCUUCCUGGCCCGAUACUGACGCUCAUGUACGAAAGCGUGGGGAGCAAACAGG
rnacentral:rRNA from 1 species